UACGUAGGAGGCAAGCGUUGUCCGGAAUUACUGGGCGUAAAGCGCGUGUAGGUGGUGGGACAAGUCUGCUGUGAAAGCGCCUGGCUUAACCGGGCGAGGUCGGCGGAAACUGUUCGACUCGAGGACGGUAGAGGGGGGUGGAAUUCCCGGUGUAGUGGUGAAAUGCGUAGAGAUCGGGAGGCACACCUGUGGCGAAGGCGGCCCCCUGGGCCGGCCCUGACACUGAGACGCGAAGGCGUGGGGAGCGAACAGG
rnacentral:rRNA from 1 species